CCUACGGGAGGCUGCAGUGAGGAAUAUUGGUCAAUGGGCGCGAGCCUGAACCAGCCAAGUCGCGUGAGGGAUGAAGGUUCUCUGGAUCGUAAACCUCUUUUAUAAGGGAAUACAGUGUGGGACGUGUCCUAUUUUGUAUGUACCUUAUGAAUAAGGAUCGGUGAACUCCGUGCCAGCAGCCGCGGUAAUACGCAGGAUCCGAGCGUUAUCCGUAUUUAUUGGGUUUAAAGGGUUGGUAGGCGGGUUGUUACGUCCGCGGUGAAAGUCUGUGGCUCAACCAUAGAAUUGCCGUUGAAACUGGGGGGCUGGAGUAUGGUUGAGGCAGGCGGAAUGCGUGGUGUAGCGGUGAAAUGCGUAGAUA
rnacentral:rRNA from 1 species